GUGCAGCAGGCGAGAAUAGUCUACAAUGGACGAAAGUCUGAUAGUGCGACGCCGUGUGUGCGAUUAAUUCCUUCGGGAUGUAAAGCACUUUUCUAUGAGAUAAAAGCUCUUUAGGUUAAUAGCUUAUUGAGACGGAUAUUAUUAUAGGAAUAAGCUCCGGCUAACUCCGUGCCAGCAGCCGCGGUAAUACGGAAGGAGCGAGCGUUGUCCGGAUUUACUAGGCGUAAAGGGCUAGUAGGCGACUAAUUAAGUUAUAUGUUAAAUCCCACGGCUCAACUGUGGUCCUGCAUGUAAUACUGGUUAGAUAGAGUACUGUAGAGGAAGGCAGAAUUCCUGGAGUAGCGGUGGAAUGCGCAGAUAUCAGGAAGAAUACCAAAAGCGAAGGCAGCCUUCUGGGCAGUUACUGA
rnacentral:rRNA from 1 species